AAUGGGGGAAACCCUGAUCCAGCCAUUCCGCGUGAGUGAAGAAGGCCUUCGGGUUGUAAAGCUCUUUCGGCCGGGAAGAAAUCGCAUGGGUGAAUACCCUGUGUGGAUGACGGUACCGGAACAAGAAGCACCGGCUAACUACGUGCCAGCAGCCGCGGUAAUACGUAGGGUGCGAGCGUUAAUCGGAAUUACUGGGCGUAAAGCGUGCGCAGGCGGUUUGGUAAGACAGGCGUGAAAUCCCCGGGCUUAACCUGGGAACUGCGCUUGUGACUGCCAGGCUAGAGUACGGCAGAGGGGGGUGGAAUUCCCAGUGUAGAGGUGAAAUUCGUAGAUAUUGGGAGGAACACCAGUGGCGAAGGCGGCCACCUGGCCCGGUACUGACGCUCAACUGCGAAAGCGUGGGGAGCAAA
rnacentral:rRNA from 1 species